rnacentral:rRNA from 1 species
UCAAAAACAUGGUUUCUUGUAAUUAUUUAAGAGAUCUGACCUGCCCACUGAAGAUAUUUUGAAGGGCCGCAGUAUUUUGACUGUGCAAAGGUAGCAUAAUCAUUAGUCUUUUAAUUGAAGGCUGGUAUGAAUGGUUGGAUGAGGUAAAUUCUGUUUUAUGUUAAUUGGUGUUGAAUUUAGAUUUUAAGUAAAAAUACUUAAAUGUUAUUAAGGGACGAGAAGACCCUAUAGAGUUUAAUAAAUGUAGUAAAUAAUUGAGUUAAAUCUUAAUUUUUGGUUUUUAUGUAAUUUAUUUAAUUGGGGUGAUUGGAAAGAUAAAAUAAACUCUUCUUUGUAUUUAAUAAAUUAAUUAGUUUUAUGAUCCAUAUUUAAUGAUUAAAAGAUUAAAUUACCUUAGGGAUAACAGCAUAAUUCUUUUUAAGAGUUCAUAUCGAAAAAAGAGAUUGUGACCUCGAUGUUGGAUUAAGAUUAGUUAUGGGUGCAGAUGUUCAAUAACUAGGUCUGUUCGACCUUGAAAAUCUUACAUGAUCUGAGUUCA